rnacentral:rRNA from 1 species
GGAUCCAGACUUUGAUCCUGGCUCAGGAUGAACGCUGGCGGCAUGCCUAAGACAUGCAAGUCGAACGAGAUGGCCCACAGAUUCAGAAGGAAGAUAGAGUGCUUGCACGAAGUUAGAAUUUUGAUGACGUGGAAAUUCCAUCUAGUGGCAAACGGGUGAAUAACACGUGGGUAACCUACCUCUAAGUUGGGGAUAACAGUUGGAAACGACUGAUAAUACCGAAUAAGCUCUACGGAGUAAAGAAGCAAACAAGCUUCGCUAAGAGAUGGGCCUGCGGCGUAUUAGCUAGUUGGUGGGGUAAGAGCCUACCAAGGCGACGAUGCGUAGCCGAACUGAGAGGUUGAUCGGCCACACUGGGACUGAGACACGGCCCAGACUCCUACGGGAGACAGCAGUUAGGAAUAUUCGUCAAUGGGGGAAACCCUGAACGAGCAAUGCCGCGUGAAUGAAGAAGGCCCUAUGGGUUGUAAAAUUCUGUUGUAUGGAAAGAAAUGUAAAGUUAGGAAAUGAACUUUACUUGACGGUACCAUUCAAGAAAGCCACGGCUAACUACGUGCCAGCAGCCGCGGUAAUACGUAGGUGGCGAGCGUUAUCCGGAUUUAUUGGGCGUAAAGGGUGCGUAGGCGGUAUGUUAAGUAUAAAAUAAAAGCCCGAAGCUUAACUUCGGUUCGUUUUAUAAACUGGCAAACUAGAGUACAGUAGAGGCAAAUGGAAUUCCUAGUGUAGUGGUAAAAUGCGUAGAUAUUAGGAGGAACACCAGUGGCGAAGGCGAUUUGCUGGGCUGUAACUGACGCUGAGGCACGAAAGCGUGGGGAGCAAAUAGGAUUAGAUACCCUAGUAGUCCACGCCGUAAACGAUGAGUACUAAGUGUCGGGAAACCGGUGCUGAAGUUAACACAUUAAGUACUCCGCCUGAGUAGUACGGUCGCAAGGCUGCAACUCAAAGGAAUUGACGG